GGAGUUAGCCGGUGCUUCUUCUGUGAGUGAUGUCCUUCCUGCCGGUUAUUGACCCGCAGGCCUUCUUCCUCACUGAAAGUGCUUUACAACCCGAAGGCCUUCUUCACACACGCGGCAUGGCUGGAUCAGGGUUGCCCCCAUUGUCCAAUAUUCCCCACUGCUGCCUCCCGUAGGAGUCUGGGCCGUGUCUCAGUCCCAGUGUGGCUGAUCAUCCUCUCAGACCAGCUACGGAUCGUCGCCUUGGUGAGCCGUUACCUCACCAACCAGCUAAUCCGACAUAGGCUCAUCCGAUAGCGCGAGGCCCGAAGGUCCCCCGCUUUCCCCCGUAGGGCGUAUGCGGUAUUAGCCUGGGUUUCCCCAGGGUUAUCCCCCACUACCGGGCAGAUUCCUAUGCAUUACUCACCCGUCCGCCGCUCGCCACCAGGGAGCAAGCUCCCCGUGCUGCCGCUCGACUUGCAUGUGUAGCGUGCCGCCACGCGUCAUCUGAGCCAGAAUACGAACCCGUACGA
rnacentral:rRNA from 1 species